rnacentral:rRNA from 1 species
GACGAACGCUGGCGGCGUGCCUAAUACAUGCAAGUCGAGCGAAUCUGAUGGGAGCUUGCUCCCUGAUGAUUAGCGGCGGACGGGUGAGUAACACGUGGGUAACCUGCCUGUAAGACUGGGAUAACUCCGGGAAACCGGGGCUAAUACCGGAUAACUUUUUUCUUCGCAUGAAGAAGAAUUGAAAGAUGGCUCCGGCUAUCACUUACAGAUGGACCCGCGGCGCAUUAGCUAGUUGGUGAGGUAACGGCUCACCAAGGCGACGAUGCGUAGCCGACUUGAGAGGGUGAUCGGCCACACUGGGACUGAGACACGGCCCAGACUCCUACGGGAGGCAGCAGUAGGGAAUCUUCCGCAAUGGACGAAAGUCUGACGGAGCAACGCCGCGUGAGUGAUGAAGGUUUUCGGAUCGUAAAACUCUGUUGUUAGGGAAGAACAAGUAUCGUUCGAAUAGGGCGGUACCUUGACGGUACCUAACCAGAAAGCCACGGCUAACUACGUGCCAGCCGCCGCCGUAACAC